GCCUCCAUGGCCAGAUCUCAACGAGAUCCGUAAGCUCUGGCCUCAUCUUCUAUUUUUCAGGCGCCUUCUCCAGCAACGACAGUUGGCAUGGAGUAGUUCGACUUGCUGGUUCAGUAGGUCAGGGGCCUCACCGAAGUGGUGCAGGCCAUGCAGCAAUGGCAGCAGCAGCUGCAGGCAUCUGUGCGGUCGGAAAGAGCAUCAUCGGAGUUUCAGAAUUCGA
rnacentral:lncRNA from 1 species